rnacentral:rRNA from 1 species
GCAGUAGCCGCGGUAAUACGAAGGGGGCUAGCGUUGCUCGGAAUUACUGGGCGUAAAGGGAGCGUAGGCGGACAUUUAAGUCAGGGGUGAAAUCCCAGAGCUCAACUCUGGAACUGCCUUUGAUACUGGGUGUCUUGAGUGUGAUAGAGGUAUGUGGAACUCCGAGUGUAGAGGUGAAAUUCGUAGAUAUUCGGAAGAACACCAGUGGCGAAGGCGACAUACUGGAUCAUUACUGACGCUGAGGCUCGAAAGCGUGGGGAGCAAACAGGAUUAGAUACCCCGGUAGUCCCUGUCUCUUAUAC